UAAUUUCCCGUUCUCCGUGGCGCGGCUCGGUUCGGAUCAAUCAGCAGAAAGACGUUCAUUAAACGGUAACUAACGGGACUCUGAGCUAACGGACCCGGUUGUACCGUCAAGUACCUUAAUGAGGAGUCGAUGUUACAGCGGAGAGACGACGGUCAGCUCCGGUAACGGACACCGACGGAAGGAGAACUCCAUUAGCCUCCAGUUUAGUACGUGUGUUACAAGCUGCAACACACCAGCGGCCAGGCUCUGAGGAGGCUUUGAGGGAACAGCUGGAUCUGAAGGCAGCUGCAGGGUUCAGUUCUGAGAACACUCUGGAGCCUCCAACCAGCAGAACAGAGGACUAGAACCAGCCCUGGACACAGAUCAGUGCUGAGCUGCAAGUUCUGCAGCUGCUGAGACACAAACUCUCCCCGACCCGCUGCCUGGGUCUGGACUCUGGACGGGUUUCUGUGUGAGUCUGAGCCGAGGAGGAGUCUGGGAUUUGUAUGCAGAGCAGCUGAGACAAAGAGACAAAGAGACAGAGAGACCAUCCUCCUGCCUGCUGAACAAACAGACAAACAGAGGAUCAGACCCAGCAGAACCUGGUUCUCCAGCUGUUUGUUCUGCUUCAACUUUUUUUAAUUCACCUUUAUGUCCUCACUGUGAAUCUAAAUGGCACUAAUUUACCCACAAACAGCUUUACAGAAUCACAUCAGUUCAUUUUACUCACUUCUCCUGCUCUAAAUGCUUCUAAACAUUUAAAUACAAUAAUAUAUAUUUGUUUAUAAAUGAAAAUAAGAGAGAAGAAAUAAAGAGUUUGAUGGAAAUCAGUCAAUUUAUGUUGUUCAUGAAAAGAGAAAAUAAAGAGCAGCUUCUA